rnacentral:rRNA from 1 species
CUACGGGUGGCUGCAGUGGGGAAUAUUGCACAAUGGGCGCAAGCCUGAUGCAGCAACGCCGCGUGAACGAUGAAGGCCCUUGGGUCGUAAAGUUCUGUCCUUGGGGAAGAAACAAAUGACGGUACCCAAGAAGAAAGCCCCGGCUAAUUACGUGCCAGCAGCCGCGGUAAUACGUAAGGGGCGAGCGUUAUCCGGAAUUAUUGGGCGUAAAGAGUAUGUAGGUGGUUUUUUAAGCGCGAGGUUUAAGGCAAUGGCUCAACCAUUGUUUGCCUUGCGAACUGGAAAACUUGAGUGCAGGAGAGGAAAGCGGAAUUCCUAGUGUAGCGGUGAAAUGCGUAGAUAUUAGGAGGAACACCAGUGGCGAAGGCGGCUUUCUGGACUGUAACUGACACUGAGAUACGAAAGCGUGGGGAGCAAACAGGAUUAGAUACCCUCGUAGUC